rnacentral:rRNA from 1 species
UACGUAGGGUGCUAGCGUUGUCCGGAUUCAUUGGGCGUAAAGCGCGUGUAGGCGGCCAGGUAGGUCCGUUGUGAAAACCCGAGGCUUAACCUCGGGACGCCGACGGAAACCAUCUGGCUAGGGUCCGGAAGAGGAGAGUGGAAUUCCCGGUGUAGCGGUGAAAUGCGCAGAUAUCGGGAAGAACAUCCGUGGCGAAGGCGGCUCGCUGGGACGGUACCGACGCUGAGACGCGAAAGCGUGGGGAGCGAACAGG